UCCACCUGGCCCCAACUAUAUUCUCUUGUCUGUUUUCUUUAAUCCUUCACCGCCCCUCCUCAGGUUCACCACUGGCCAUGCUGGACGCAGUUCAUAAUCCCCUUGAUAAAUUUAAGUUUAAAAAAU